GUUUGCUGUCUGCAGCUGUCUCCUGCAGCUCGAGAGACAGGGCGAAACGUAGUCACUGAGGCUACUUUAAUAAUCAGCAUAGUGCGCGAAAAACCUUCGUUUUCUCGGUGCUGAGUGUUGAAGAGGAAGCCUUGUCGCGGCCUCGCCAGAGACAUUUUUGUCUGGUUGGGAACCGGAACCUUGCAUUUUCGGGGCUUCCCCUGAGUUUUGCGCUUUAUUUUCUCACAGAAACUUGAGCGAGGCAAUUUUGGGGGAAAGAAGCCGUUUUCCGAGCGGUCUGAGGUGGGGAAUCAGAGCGAUUCCCAGCCUCAGAGAAAGGGGAGCCGAUUUUUCAGAUUGGGGCUCGUUUCUGGCGCGAGACAGCGAAGGCCCAGAGAAAGGGGAACGCGGCGGCGGCGAUGGGACGACAGGACGGUGUUGGGGACGCCCUGAGGGAGUCAAAAUUUUCAUCAAGUGCUUCUGUAUGUAUUGAGACUGAAAAGUGACCAAAACUUUUCACUAUAAAAGCUUCAGUAUCACAGGGACAUCAUGAUGUCCUCAAAAAGUACACACACACUUCUCAGAAGAUGUGACAAUCUGCACUGAUAUGAGCUGCAAGAGAAAAAUUGUUUCCUUGGAAGUGCUUUUUCACAGCCAUUAUGGAGUCUUCACAGCUCAGGGGAGUCCUUCCAUCCCCAACUACUGCAACAAGCCGGUCUCCAGGACUUGCCAAUGCUGAUGAAGUCCAGUGAAGAACUUCUCCAGGCCAGUCUCAUUCCAACCACCCGCUUAUGCUGAACAGUUUCAGAAGAUUUGCUGAAGCAUCUGAUGGAGGAGAGCAGUGAUUUGAGCCUUCUGGACCUUGCUGCCAUCUACCAGAAACAACAGAAGACCAUUGGAACCAGCUAAAUGUCCAUCGGUAGGGGACUAAUCAAAUAAUGUAGGACACACCCAUUCAAUGGGAAACUGUACAGCUAUUUAAAAAGAUAAAGCAGUUAUCUAUAUAUGAAUGAGAAGAUCUCCAAGUUAAAAAAGAUAGAUGCAGAACAGUGAGUAUAGUAUGCUAUCUUUUAUAUUAAAAAAGGGGGAGAGUGUAAUAAAAUAAUGUACCUAUAUUCUCAUCAGUUGACAUAUGCAUAAAGAAACUGGAAGGAUUUAAAAGACAGUAAUAACUUCAAACUGUGGAAAAGGUUGGAAGCAGUUGUGUCAAAGUAUACAUUUAUUCAUAUGCCCAAAUUCCAAUUUACUAGUAAUUUAAAAAAUGUAAGUUAGCAAAAUAUCCAUAAAGGGAAAAGAUCAGUAGCAGGGAAAUACACAAACAUUGCUGGUGACAGUAUUUUGGGAAAAAAAAAUUGUCUUCAAUCAGCAUUCUGCCCUUAGGAUUUAUCCAAAAACAGGUAAAGUUUUGUGCUCAGAUUUUAUAAAACAGUGGAGAACAAGAAAGUAUAUAUUCAGGAACAAAUGAUGGGCAAGGGAACUAUAGUAUGUGUAGUUAUCAGACAAUUGUGUAUCCAUUUAAAAAUUUGUGAGUAGAAAACAAAAGCACGAAAAAUUUACUGACGAUGGAAUUCCAUUGAGUGGCAAAAAUUCAGGCUAAAUUACUUACAUAGCAUAGUCACAAUUUGGUAUUUUAAAAGAGGCAAAUGACAUGUUUUAAAUGAUUAAAAUUUGAAACUAUGAACCAAAGUUAUAACUGAAGUGUCUAUUAAAUUGUGUGGGCUAAGUUUUUUUUCUUUUUUGGGCUGCGUGGCUCGUGGGAUCUUGGUUUCCGGAUCAGGGAUUGAACCCGGGCCACAGCAGUGAAAGCGCCGAGUCCUAACCACUAGACCACCAGGGCAUUCCCCUGUGGGAUAAGAAUUUUAAAGUUUUUUUUAUAGAGAAAAAACUUUAAGCAUUUUCCCCCAUGCUGCCUUUCAAUUUCUACAAAAGCCGCAUUUCAUUGUCACUCAGAAGUAACAAAAGGAAGAAGCCAGGAAGUGUAAAUCUCAAAGUAUGCAUUUAGGGGGACAGCUCAGCUGCCGUGAAAGGUUUAGGUCAAGCAUAAUAUACAUGCACCCAUUCCAGCCCAUUUAAUGCCACAUACAAAGUAGAGGCCCCGCGGGCCCAUCCUGCACAGCCCCGCCUUGCCCAAACCCCGCCCUUCCAGUCCCCCGCCCACUUCCUCUCAUCCCCCACACGACCGCCCACUGGCGAGGUCAGGCGGCCGCGCAGCCGCAGUAGCUGCCACGGCCGCUCCUAGCCCGGGGGAUCCUGGGAGCAGGCCUUUCCGGAAGGACCGGUUCGGCGUCGGGGCCUCGGCCCGUGUUGCAGCCCAGUGUUCCAGGCCCUUGCUCCACGACGGGCCCGUAGCCGCGGCGACGCUCUAAGGACAGCGGAGGGCGCGGCGGGCCGCUCGCUGAGGUGCCCGGCUUCGCCGCCGAGCGAACCCCGGGGCCGCAGGACGUGGCGGCACCUCCCCCUUGGCCCGGAGCGGAACUGCGGGAGGAGCGGCAACGCAGGCCGGACGCGGUGAACCGGGUCACUAAACUGCCUUCAGAAAAUUUCAUUCAAAACUACAGAAGCGUACUAUCAGAAGUAAAACCAACGUUCUAUCCGCAGCUCAACGAUUGAAAGACCUUAGGUACACGGGCCUCUCACUGUUGUGGCCUCUCCUGUUGCGGAUCACAGGCUCCGGACGCACAGGCUCAGCGGCCAUGGCUCACAGGCCCAACCGCUCCGCGGCAUGUGGGAUCUUCCCGGACCGGGGCACGAACCCGCGUCCCCUGCAUCAGCAGGCAGACUCUCAACCACUGCGCCACCAGGGAAGCCCCUUACAUUUAGCUCUUUAAUCCACUUUGAGUUUAUUUUUGUAUAUGGUGUUAGAGGAUGUUCUAAUUUCAUUCUUUUACAUGUAGCUGUCCAGUUUUCCCAGCACCACUUAUUGAAGAGACUGCCUUUUCUCUAUUGUAUAUUCUUGCCUCCUUUGUCAUAGAUUAACUGACCAUAAAUACAUCAGUUUAUUUCUGGGCUCUAUAUUUUUCCAUUGAUCUAUGUGUCUGUUUUUGUGCCAGUACAUACUGCCUUGAUUAUUGUAGCUUUGUAAUAUACCCUGAAGUCAGAGAACAUUAUUCUUCUAGCUCUAUUCUUCUUUCUCAAGAUUGUUUUGGCUAUUUGGGGUCUUUUGUGUUUCCAUACAAAUUUUAAAAUUAUUUGUUCUAGGUUGGUGAAAAAUGCUCUUGGUAUUUUGAUAGAGAUUGCUUUGAAUUGUAGAUUGCCUUUGGUAGUUUGGUCAUUCUAACUAUAUUAAUUCUUCCAGUCCAAGAACACGGUAUUUCUUUCCAUCUGUGAUGUCUUCAGUUUCUUUCAUAAGUGUCUCACAGUUUCUGAGUACAGGUCUUUUACCUCCUUAGCUAGGUUUAUUCCUAGGUAUUUUAUUUGUUUUGGUAUGAUGGUGAAUGGGAUUGUUUACUUAAUUUAUUGUUCUGAUAGUUCAUUGUUAGUAUACAGAAAUGUAAGAGAUUUCUGUAUAUUAAUUUUGUAUCCUGCAACUUUACCGAAUUCACUGACUAGCUCUAGUAGUUUUCUGAUGGCAUCUUUAGGAUUUUCUGUGAAUAGUAUCAUGUCAUCUGCCAACAGUGACAGUUUUUCUUCUUUUCCAAUUCAGAUUCCUUUUAUUUCUUUUUCCUUUCUGGACUUUUCUAGGACUUCCAAGACUAUGUUGAAUAAAAGUGGCAAGAGUGGGCAUCCUUGUCUUGUUCCUGAUCUUAGAGGAAAUGCGUUCAGCUUCUCACUGAAUAUGUUAGCUGUGGGCUUGUCAUAUAUAGCCUCUAUUACCUUAUGUUCCCUUUAUGUCCACUUUCUAGAGUUUUAUCAUAAAUGGAUGUUGAAUUUUGUCAAAAGCUUUUUCUGCAUCUACUGAGAUGAUCAUAUGGUUUUUAUUCUUCAGUUUUAAUGUGCUGUAUCAUGUAUCACAUUGAUUGAUUUGUGGAUAUUGAAAAGUCCUUGCAUCCCUGGGAUAAAUCCUACUUGACCAUGAUAUAUGAUCCUUUUACUGUAUUGUUGGAUUCAGUUUGCUAAUAUUUUUUUGAGUAUUUUUGCAACUAUCUUCAUCAGUGAUACUGGCCUGUAAUUUUGUGUGUGUGUGUGUGUGUGUGUGUGGUAUCUUUGGUUUUGGUUUCAGGGUGAUGCUGGCCUCAUAAAAUGAGUAUGGAAGUGUUCCUUCCUCUGCAAUUUUUGGGACUAAUUUGAGGACAGGUGUUAAUCCUUCUUUAAAUGUUUGGUAUAGUUCACCUGUGAAGCCAUCUGGUCCUGGACUUUGUUGGGGGUUUUUUAAAUUAUUGAUUCAGUUUCACUAUUGGUAAUUGGUCUGUUCACAUUUUCUAUUUCUUCCUGAUUUGGUCUUGGGAGAUGGUACCUUUCUAAGAUUUGUCCAUUUUACUGGCAUAUAGUUUUGUAGUAGUCUUUUAGGAUCCUUUGUAUUUCUGUGAUCUGGGUUGUAACGUCCCCUUUUUCAUUUCUGAGUUUAUUGAUUUGGGCCCUCUCCCCUUUUUUCUUGAUGAGCCUAGCUAAAGUUUUUCAAUUUUAUUUAUCUUUUCAAAGAACCAACUCAGUUUCAUUGAUCUUUGGUUUUUAGUCUGUAUUUCUGCUCUGAUCUUUCUUUUCUUCUACUAACUUUGGGUUUUGUUUGUUUUUUCUCUAGUUCCUUUAGGUGUAAAGAAAGAUUGAGACUUUCCUAGUUUCCUGAGGUUCUUUGAUCAUCUGUACCAUCAUUACCCUGAAUUCUUCUCCUCAGUUGUAGAAGAUCUCUUCUGGUUGGUUCUGGUCUUUUUCAUUGAUGGUUGUUCUGCAAGUACUUGUGAUUUUGGUGUGCUCAUGAGAGGAGGUCGCCAACAAUUCUAGCUGCUGAUCAGUCCAAUGAGGAUUAUCAUCCCUCUCUGCUGAAAAAGUUGAAGAUCUGCUAGAUUACUGCAUGGAGAAAGAGGUGGCCUGAGCUAUUUGCAACUGGCUGCUCCUGGAGGAACCUGAAAACAUUCUUGUCCUUCAGGCAGGAAAACAAUGGAAAGAUUCUUCCAUUAGGUGCAGAACUUGUGAGGGUCUCCUGCUUUGGCAGGCCAAGGUUCAGGGCUGGUCACAGCUAAGGGUGCAGACAGGGCUGGAGAACAUCAUCCUGGGUGUCCUCAGUGAGGAGGGUGGCAGGCCCCGGUGAGCCUGGUGAUGCAGGUGUCUGGCUGUGGGAGCCUGUAUCCAGCUGCUCUGAGUACCUGCCUGCAAAUGAGAUUCUUAAAUAGUACAAGGUUCUCAAUUCUGUACUCAUGCCAAUGUUGUUUCCACUUUUUCCAAUUUCUCUUCAAUUUAUCGGCAACAGAUAAUGUCGCAACUUCAAUGCCUUUUUGUGUAUUACACUGGAAAUUAAACACAUUCAUGGAAAAGGACAGAGUAUAAAUCCAAUAGGAUGUACUCAUCCAAAUGAGACCCAAGGUUGAAAUAAAAUCUGAGUCUCAGUCUGUGUCUUUUUAAAUUCUAAUAAGAGUACUUAGACAUUUGACAUUUUACUGUACGUUCAUGCUUUGUAAUGCACCAAAAUACAACUAGCCUCGCCUCUCUCCAUUUCCCAUUUAAGGGGCUAAGACAUUAGAUUUGAAUUCUUCCACAUGACUUUAUAGGAGUCAUAGCUCAUGUUUCCAGACAUAGUCUAUGGAUAAGAGUGGCAUAAAUGUUAACACUAAGGUCUAAUUCAUACCAUUCUCUUCCUUCUGUCACCAAAAGUGUGCUCACCACAUAUAUAUGUGACAAUGUGCUUGGCAAUGUGGAUUCCAGAAAAGUAAGGCAGGGAUGGUGACUGACCUCCAGGGAGCAGGGAAGACAGACUUUAGAGGCAGGAUUAGGAUGAGGGAAGCACCACGUGCUCAGUGCAGCUGAGGGCCAGUGCUCAGAGCUGAUGAAGAGGAGGGCCUGGGAGCAGCAGAAGGCUCCACUCUGACAAAAAUCUGGGGCUCCUCAAUUUAAAUGACAUCAGAUUUUGAUUUCCUCUUCUAAAAAACUGAGACAACUCAAGUAGUUGUCACACAGGCAAAUGUAAAGAUUAAAUGAAGUUUGCAGAUUAUAGUCUGAGAAUCUGAAUUUAGUGAACAUAGCUGCCUUUAGCAUUAAUGUGACAUAUAGUAACUUGCAGAGUCCAUGAUCAGCCCCGCCAAGAGAGGCUUUGACUGCCGCUCCCUUAACGCUGUCAGGGGUCUGCGUGUUGAGGCUCCAAAUGCAAACUGCAGGAGAGGGGUUGCCUUCUGGACUGCGAAGGAGCAAAGCCCAAGUUUCCAGGCCUAGAGCAGUGUCUGGUACAUUAAGGAGAGAAAUCCUACAGCACUUGAAACAUUUGCAGAGAACCAGCAUCGAGGAGAAAUGGCUGCUCUGUGAAUAGUAUAAAUGAGAUAAACGGUCCCUUCCCUCAUCCUCAGUCUCAGGCCACCUCUGGUGAUAUUAUUUUAAGACAAAGGUGUUUUUAAAUGUUAUGGGGACCAGGAAAUGGGUUAUAAAAUGUAGAUGGGGCAGAGGGUGAUGAAAAAUGGGACAUUCCUAUAUUUUUAGCUAUGGAAGGUCACAACGUUACUUCGAAAGCUAUUUCCUGGCUAUUUGGGUAAAGAAAGGGAGGGCUUCCCUCAAGCAUGGAAUGUAAGAAGGCACCAAAUCUAAGUGAUCAAGAUAAAUCAUAUUUUAAGGCAAUAUAUAAAAAUGGAAAUGCCACAACAUACAUGCUGAAGAAAAUAGCAAAAUUUUAAAUAAAGACAGAAAUGACCCUGCAUUUGGAUGACGCUGACAGUCUUACAGAGGAAGGCUUCACGUUGCCAAUGAAAUUUGGGCAAUUUCUGUUCAGUCUCUA